CAGGCUGGAAUACUCUCCAGGGGAUCUUCCCAACCCAGGGAUCGAACCCAGGUCUCCCACAUUGCAGGCAGAUUUUUUUACCAGCAGAGCCACCAGGGAAGUUAUCUGUAACAAAGUGUGAUUCUUUAAUCAAAACUGGUAAUUUUGAAUUUAACGUAAUAAACUUUUUUUUGCUAUGGUUGAUUUUAAAUAAACAUCUGUGUUUACCGGAUUUCAAGGUGAUAUCUUCUAGGCUGCCUGCUGAUCAGGAUGUCAGUUUUCACCAGAAUGUUUUAAGCUAUUUUUAGUAAGAGCUGGCUUAUUCAUUAUCUGACUUUCACCUAUAGAGCAUUUCCAGUGUCUGGCUAAAGUCACCCAGGAGGCUUCAGAUACAGUUUUAUUUAGCCUGUGUAUCCGUUUAGCACUUCCGUGUAGUUCUCAGCUUUGUCCUUUCCUUUUGGAUCAAAGAGAAAAGAAGCGCAGUAAGUGAAAUGAUGGUUCACCUGGGAAAUCCGGGCCCCACUGGCCAACACGCCAUUACAGAAACAGCAGGUCAGGCCACAUAGACAUCCCAGAUUUCCUUUCCAUCCAUGUGGUUUCCUUGACCCACUGUUUAUAGAAAAGUGGCACUGCUUAUCAAUGAUAGGCAGAUCAUCAAUAUAUAUUUGAGAAAGAAUGUGAAGUUCAUGAAUUUGAGUUCAUUUAACUGUUUUCCAAGUAACUAAAAUGCCCUUUCUUCUGGCAGAUAGUUAGAUUUGCACUUGGUAGAUGAAAAGCCCUGUUCUUCCAAUGGCAUCCUGUCACCUGUUAUUGAAAUGGAGCAGGACCCUGUGGUCCUUGCCCCUCAGGUCUGCAGCCGGCUUCUUGUUGGCAGAAAAACUUUAGCCAAAGAAUAAGUUUAAUCAGAGAUGUGAGAACAUGCAGAGACCAAGGCAAACAGUACAACAAGGCUAAAUAGGAAUGGUUUAGUCAUUAAACUUAGUCAAGGACCUUUAGUUCCUCCUCAAAGGCUAUAGAUGACAUUCCGAGCCCUAUCCUGUGAGCUGUCUUAUAGAGUCAGAAACCCCCACCAGGUGGAGGAAAUUAACAACGUGAUGACCAGAAGGACAUAAACCGCACAGUUCUAAGAAUUGGCCUCAAGGAAAUGGGAACAACCUGGCCCUAGACCUGAAGAUUAACUGUACUUCAAACAGCCAAGACAAUGCCGAUCAGAUUAGCACGUGGCCAGGCGCAAGGUGAUCAUCGGCGCUGACCAUGCUGCUUCUGUGUGCAGCCCCCUCCCUCUGUCUGUGAAAGCCCGCGCCCAUGACUGUCAGGGCUUGGUGGAGGGUGCGGAGGGAGUCAACAUUUGGAUAACAGUCUGCCCCUCCCCCAGCCCUUGCUGCUGGUCUCUGAAAAAAAGCAAACUUUCCUUUCCAUCAGCCUUGCCUCUUUAUUGGCUUUUUUGCAACGGGCCAGCGCGGGAAGGGGGCAGCUGGAACCGCUUUCAGUUACAGUUUUUGGUGCCCACGUGGGUCGGCUGCAUUCUCAGACAUCUCGCUGUCCCGCGUUCCCAGCAGAGGCAUGGCCUUGAUGACUCCCUGGGAGGGCUUCGAGAAGCUCACUUUUGGUGUCAAGGCUCGCUAGCCCCAGGAGAGGGGUUUGGGUGGACGUUUCUAGUAGCUGCAGAAACCGUUUUUUUUUUUUUUUUUUUUUUAACCAGGAUCCUCCCUGUUUCUCCCCCUGCUCAGCCCUGGCUGCCAACUAAUACUUUUCCCUGGUGGGAUGGAAAGGUACUUCUGGAAGCUCCAAGACCAAGUAAGUCCACGGAGUACAUCAUGAGAAAUGGCAGGCUGGAUGAAGCACAAGCUGGAAUCAAGAUUGCUGGGAGAAAUAUCAAUAACCUCAGAUAUGCAGAUGACACCACCUUUAUGGCAGAAAGUGAAUAAGAACUAAAGAGACUCCUGAUGAAAGUGAAAGAGGAGAGUGAAAAAGCUGGCUUAAACCUCAACAUUCAGAAAACCAAGUUUAUGGCAUCUGGUCCCAUCACGUCAUGGCAGAUACAUGGGGGAACAGUGGAAACAGUGACAGACUUUAUUUUGGGGGGCUCCAAAAUCACUGCAGAUGGUGACUGCAGCC
ensembl:lncRNA